rnacentral:siRNA from 1 species
AGGGUGGCUCAUCCAUGCUCUUCC